rnacentral:rRNA from 1 species
AAAUUAUUUCAAUUUUCUUUCACAAUACUAUUACACUAUAAUUAAAAUUAUUUUUUCUUUAUUAAAUACUAAAACAAAUCUCUAUAUAAUUAUUUUUAAUAAUUUAAAAUUUUAAAAAAUAUAAAUUAAUAAAUAAAAUAUAAUCAAUUUAUAUUGAUUUGCACAAAAAUCUUUUCAAUGUAAAUGAAAUGCUUUACUGAAUAAGCUUUAAAUUGCAUUCUAGGUACACUUUCCAGUACAUCUACUAUGUUACGACUUAUCUUACCUUAAUAGUAAGAGUGACGGGCGAUGUGUGCAUAUUUUAGAGCUAAAAUCAAAUUAUUAAUCUUUAUAAUUUUACUAUCAAAUCCACCUUCAAUAAAUAUUUCAAAUUUAUAUUCGUAUAAAUAAAUUUAUUGUAACCCAUUUCUACUUAAAUAUAAGCUACACCUUGAUCUGAUAUAUUUUCUUUUUAAAAAUUAUGAAAAUUAUCAUUCUUAUAAAAUAUUCUAAUAACGACGGUAUAUAAACUGAAUACAAACUUAAGUAAGGUCCAUCGUGGAUUAUCGAUUAUAGAACAGGUUCCUCUGAAUAGACUAAAAUACCGCCAAAUUUUUUAAGUUUCAAGAACAUAACUA